GCCAAACGAUCAAACGAUCCAAGUUCGUUCCGCCCCGUCUCCCUGCAGAACUGCGAUGUCAAGAUCCUCUGCCGGGCGCUCACCACGCGGUUGCAGCAGCAGAUUGGGGGGGUGAUCGACGUCGACCAGUCCGGAUUCGUCUCCGAGCGAAGCAUCUCCGAGAACUUCGUCUAUGCGACCGAAGUGGUGCAAUGCUGCCGCGCGAGGAAAGCCCCCGCCCUCGUCCUCAAGCUGGACUUCGCUAAAGCCUUCGACUCUGUUAAUUGGGCGUGCCUUCGUCGAGUCAUGGAGGUGCGCGGCUUCCCUGAGCAAUGGUGCGCGUGGGUGGACGCCAUCCUCCGUUCAUCAUGCUCCGCGGUGCUGCUCAACGGAGUGCCGGGGGCGUGGUUCCCCGUCAGGUGUGGGCUUCGCCAAGGAGACCCGAUGUCGCCCUACCUCUUCCUCUUGGUGGCGGAUGUCCUGCAACGGAUGGUGCGGCGCGACCCCCUGCUCCAACACCCGGUGGUGGAGGGGGGAGCACCGAUUGUGCUUCAAUACGCCGAUGACACACUUAUCAUCAUCCGCGCAUCGGUGGAGGCGGCGGCGCGGCUACGACGCAUCCUGGACGACUUCGCCGCGGCCACCGGGCUGGGGAUCAACUACGGCAAAAGCACCCUGGUGCCGAUUCACGUCGCGGACGAGGUGGUGGCUGGGGCUGCGGGGGCCCUCUCCUGCUAUGUACAGGGGUUCCUGCAACCCUACUUGGGCCUGCCGUUGUCGUGGGACAAGCUGACGGCGGCCGACUUCGCGCCGAUGCUUGCUAAGGUCGAUGCCUACCUGGCCGGGUGGCGGGCGCGCCUACUCUCCCCCGCCGGGCGCCUGGUCCUGAUCAAUGCGGUGCUGGACUCGCUCCCCACGUACGCCAUGGCCGCCGUCGUCCUUCCCCCGGCCGUGGUUAAAGCCAUGGAUACGCUUCGCCGGGCAUUCCUAUGGGCGGCGGCCGACCGUGCCACGGGAGCCCAGUGCCUGGUUGCAUGGAGCCAGGUCUGCAGGGCGAAGUGCGAGGGGGGCUGGGGGUGCGGGACCUUACCACCCAGAACAUGUGCCUGCUGCUCAAGAUGCUGCAUCGUCUACACUCGUCGGAGUCGAGGUGGGCGUCGUGGGUUUGGGCGGAGCUGA
rnacentral:rRNA from 1 species